rnacentral:rRNA from 1 species
GCUGGCGGCGUGCUUAACACAUGCAAGUCGAACGAUGAAGAGCAGCUUGCUGCUUGGAUUAGUGGCGCACGGGUGAGUAAUAUAUAGGUAAUGUGCCUCUUAGUCUGGGAUAGCCAUUGGAAACGAUGAUUAAUACUGGAUACUCCUUCUAACUCUAAUGUUAGUCGGGAAAGUUUUUCGCUAAGAGAUCAGCCUAUAUCCCAUCAGUUAGUUGGUAAGGUAACGGCUUACCAAGGCAAUGACGGGUAGCGGGUUUGAGAGGAUGAUCCGCCACACUGGUACUGAGACACGGACCAGACUCCUACGGGAGGCAGCAGUGAGGAAUAUUGCACAAUGGGGGAAACCCUGAUGCAGCAACGCCGCGUGGAGGAUGACGCAUUUCGGUGUGUAAACUCCUUUUAUAUGUCAAGAAAAUGACGGUAGCAUAUGAAUAAGCACCGGCUAACUCCGUGCCAGCAGCCGCGGUAAUACGGAGGGUGCAAGCGUUACUCGGAAUCACUGGGCGUAAAGGACGCGUAGGCGGAUUGGAAAGUCAGAUGUGAAAUCCUACAGCUUAACUGUAGAACUGCAUUUGAAACUUCUAAUCUAGAGUAUGGGAGGGGGAGAUGGAAUUAGUGGUGUAGGGGUAAAAUCCGUAGAUAUCACUAGGAAUACCGAAAGCGAAGGCGAUCUCCUGGAACAUUACUGACGCUAAGGCGUGAAAGCGUGGGGAGCAAACAGGAUUAGAUACCCUGGUAGUCCACGCCCUAAACGAUGAACACUAGUCGUCGGGAUGCUUGUCAUCUCGGUGAUGCACUUAACAGAUUAAGUGUUCCGCCU